rnacentral:rRNA from 1 species
AAACCAGCACCUCAAGUGGUCAGGAUGAUUAUUGGGCCUAAAGCAUCCGUAGCCUGCUUUGUAAGUUUUCGGUUAAAUCCAUAUGCUCAACAUAUGGGCUGCCGGGAAUACUGCACAGCUAGGGAGUGGGAGAGGUAGACGGUACUCGGUAGGAAGGGGUAAAAUCCUUUGAUCUAUUGAUGACCACCUGUGGCGAAGGCGGUCUACCAGAACACGUCCGACGGUGAGGGAUGAAAGCUGGGGGAGCAAACCGGAUUAGAAACCCCGGUAGUCC